rnacentral:misc_RNA from 1 species
AGCAGCCGCGGUAAUUCCAGCUCCAAUAGCGUAUAUUAAAGUUGCUGCAGUUAAAAAGCUCGUAGUUGAAUUUCGGGACCAUCAUGUCGGUCGUGCCUCGGUACGUACUGGCAUUGUUGGUUUCUCCCUUCUGACGAACCAUGAUGUCAUUUAUUUGGUGUCGUGGGAAAUCAGGACUGUUACUUUGAAAAAAUUAGAGUGUUUAAAGCAGGCUCACGCUUGAAUACAUUAGCAUGGAAUAAUGAAAUAGGACGUUUGAUUCUAUUUUGUUGGUUUCUAGGAUCGACGUAAUGAUUAAUAGGGAUAGUUGGGGGCAUUAGUAUUCAAUUGUCAGAGGUGAAAUUCUUGGAUUUAUUGAAGACUAACUACUGCGAAAGCACUUGCCAAGGAUGUUUUCAUUAAUCAAGAACGAAAGUUAGGGGAUCGAAGACGAUCAGAUACCGUCGUAGUCUUAACCAUAAACUAUGCCGACUAGGGAUCGGAUGAUGUUAAUUUUUUAAUGACUCAUUCGGCGCCUUAC